AUCUCUUCUAAUGUGUCUGCACCGGACUGGCUGCUGCAUAGUUAUGUUCUUUGAGGAGGUGUGAGCAGUUUCUGUAGGAAGAGUAUAAAUAACGAAUGAAGAUUCACUUCACAUGAACUGCACUACACUGCUCUGAACCUUGAACAAAUCAUCAGCAUGAUCUUAUCUGAGGGGAGUGAUGAAGGGGAUGAUGAUGACGAUGAUGAAGAAGAUGAUGGAGGUGCUGGAGUAAGUGUCUGCUGCCAAGGGUAGACAACUGCUCCAGACCUUGAUGCAGCCAGUGUUGAGAAAGACCCAAUAGCACGCUGGAUCAAACAAGCUGUGUGCAAUUGUUGAUACAAGCCAGCAGCAGCCAAAGCAAUCACACAGCUUCAGUCGUGACAAAUGUCGCGACCCAAGUACCUCCCACGCCAUAUGUGUCCAUGGCAAACUUGACACGUAGACAAUGAUUCCUCCAUGGAAAACGAUGGAUCUCGCAACUUUCCCGCUGUGCAGUGGCAGCACCAUCGCUUUUCUUCAGAACGGCUCUGCUUUCCUGUCUGUUUGUGCAACCCUGAAGAAACCAUGGAGAGAAGAACGAAAUGUUCAUGGAGAGGUGAUCCCUCAUGAGAGCUGCUGGUCCCGAGGUUGGAAGAUUUGAGCCAGUUUUUUCUGUGAUCACAAUCGUCCUCAAUCACCAUUGUGCCAUCGAGCAACGCACAUGACUCCAAAGCAGGACUGACUGUUUCUGCAAAAGGUCUACAGUAGUCAACAAUCCAUUAAAAUACAAACAGAGAAUGGGCUGGAUGGGCAUUUUGUAGAUGUACUAAUGGAUACAUGUUGCUCACAUAUAUACAGGGAGGUCUCGCCCUUUUAAAGCCCAAGUGUAUUUGUUGUAAAGAUAUAUUCAGACUAUGGCUGCUUGGUCCAAAUAGCUCUCCAGUAAAACUAGCAGAAGGUUUCUGGAGCAGCGGAUCAGGGUUAGAGGUAAAAG